AGAGUUUGAUCAUGGCUCAGAUUGAACGCUGGCGGAAUGCUUUACACAUGCAAGUCGAGCGGCAGCGCGGGGCAACCUGGCGGCGAGCGGCGAACGGGUGAGUAAUGCAUCGGAACAUGUCCUGUCGUGGGGGAUAGCCCGGCGAAAGCCGGAUUAAUACCGCAUACGUCCGAGAGGAGAAAGUGGGGGACCCGCAAGGGCCUCACGCGAUUGGAUUGGCCGAUGGCCGAUUAGCUAGUUGGUGGGGUAAAGGCCUACCAAGGCGAUGAUCGGUAGCUGGUCUGAGAGGAUGAUCAGCCACACUGGGACUGAGACACGGCCCAGACUCCUACGGGAGGCAGCAGUGGGGAAUUUUGGACAAUGGGGGCAACCCUGAUCCAGCCAUUCCGCGUGAGUGAAGAAGGCCUUC
rnacentral:rRNA from 1 species